rnacentral:rRNA from 1 species
AACGAACGCUGGCGGCAGGCUUAACACAUGCAAGUCGAGCGCCCCGCAAGGGGAGCGGCAGCCGGGUGAGUAACGCGUGGGAACGUACCUUUUGGUUCGUAACAACUCCGGGAAACUGGAGCUAAUACCGGAUAAGCCCUAACGGGGAAAGAUUUAUCGCCGAAAGAUCGGCCCGCGUCUGAUUAGCUAGUUGGUGAGGUAACGGCUCACCAAGGCGACGAUCAGUAGCUGGUCUGAGAGGAUGAUCAGCCACACUGGGACUGAGACACGGCCCAGACUCCUACGGGAGGCAGCAGUGGGGAAUAUUGGACAAUGGGCGCAAGCCUGAUCCAGCCAUGCCGCGUGAGUGAUGAAGGCCUUAGGGUUGUAAAGCUCUUUUGUCCGGGAAGAUAAUGACUGUACCGGAAGAAUAAGCCCCGGCUAACUUCGUG